rnacentral:rRNA from 1 species
AUACGUAGGGGGCGAGCGUUGUCCGGAAUGAUUGGGCGUAAAGGGCGCGUAGGCGGCGCGGUAAGUCUGGAGUGAAAGUCCUGCUUUCAAGGUGGGAAUUGCUUUGGAUACUGCCGCGCUUGAGUGCAGGAGAGGUUAUCGGAAUUCCCGGUGUAGCGGUGAAAUGCGUAGAGAUCGGGAGGAACACCAGUGGCGAAGGCGGGUAACUGGACUGCAACUGACGCUGAGGCGCGAAAGUGUGGGGAGCAAACAGGAUUAGAUACCCUGGUAGUCCACAUUGUAAACGAUGAAUACUAGGUGUGGGAGGGCAUUGCCCUCCGGUGCCGCAGCUAACGCAUUAAGUAUUCCACCUGGGGAGUACGUUCGCAAGAAUGAAACUCAAAUGAAUUGACGGGG